CUCCCUGAAAGUAAGCAUUGUAGUAUGAUGUCUGGUAAUAAUAUGGUUACUAUUUCAAUUAUAAUUGCAAUUGCGAUGCAGGGAGUUGCAAGUCUGCAUCUUAGUCAGGUUGGUAGUAGAGGCCAGAGAAACACACAGAAGUCACUUUUCUCCAGGAAUAAUAAUUUGAAUACCCGAAGGACUAGUCAAUCACAUGGAACUUCCGGUUUUACAAGUUCAAACUCAAGAUUACCACAUGACACGUCAUCACCAUUACGACAACCUGGAAAUGGUAAUCCUAGGGGAGGGAGAGUAGGAGGGAGAGUAACCGUCAGAUUUAAUAACGAACCUGAUAGAAUGAGAAUCGGAAAUAAUAAUGUCAAUAACAAUAAUAACAAUAAUAUAAACAAUAACAUAAACAAUAAUAUCAAUAUGAAUGAUAACUUUCAUCAGCUACAAACAAUGCCAAAUCCGCAGUUUAAUGAACUUCCUUCCAGCAGACAAUCUCCUAUUAAUUACUCUGUAAGAGAACUCAUGCAUCAACAGUUACUCACCAGACAAAUUUUAAUAGGGUUAAUAAGAAAACAACUUUUUGAUACCAAUGGACGUUAUGUUCAAGAUCCUGCUGCAAGGGGAGCUAAUUUCGUCGAUCCAAGAAAAAUACUAAGACCACAGCAAAAUUUCCCAAAUUUCGGAGGUAAUAAGCAACAAUUACCCGGUACCUUGACAAUUGAAUCAACCGGUGCUAUUAGUGUUACAGAGGUUCAAACGCCAAACGGGGAAACAAAAAUAAUAAUUGAUGCAACAAGCAAAAAUAACAAAACUACAAAAUCUCCGCCUCUAGAAGAAGUAGAAGCUCCAUGACAGGAGGACGUUACACACAAAUAUAUUUCCGAGAUAUCGUAAUAGAUAUUCUCUCACCAAUUCUACAAGUAGAUUUCUUGUUCAGCAGAGGCGAUUGCGAGUUUCACGAGCCGUCAAAAUUCAGAAAAUAGGAAUUACAUCUCGUGCUAUUUAUUGCGAAGAGAUAAGGUUGCAGCUCAUUCCGUCGUCUGAGUUUGUUUACAGUGUUUUGUGGGACUUAGUGUUUUGGGUAUUUUGUUUACAGUACGCUAUAUGAGUUCAGCGGUGUUUUUGUUUUGUUUACAGUAGGCUUGACGAUUUCAGUAUUUUGUGUACUUUUUACACUAUACUGUAUGAUUUUAGUUUGUAGUUUGUUUUUAGUACGCUGGAUGAAUUCAGUGUUUUGUGUAAUUUGUAAACACUACGUUGAAUGAUUUCAGUGUCUGCGUGUAAUAUGUUUACAGUACCCUGAAUGAUUUCAGUGUCUGCGUGUAAUUUGUUUACAGUACCCUAAAUGAUUUCAGUGUCUGCGUGUAAUAUGGUUAUAGUACCCUGAAUAGUUUCAGUGUCUGCGUGUAAUAUGUUUACAGUACCCUGAAGGAUUUCAGUGUUUCCGUGUAAUAUGUUUACAAUACCCUGAACGAUUUCAGUGUUUCAUCAUAUUUUGGUGUAUUUUUUAUAUAUUGAUAUAUAAUGUAUGUAUUCAAUGUUUGAUCCAUUAUUGUUUUAUAUGAAAAACAAAUAAAAGAUAUUAAGUUAAA